rnacentral:misc_RNA from 1 species
AAGUCGUAACAAGGUUUCCAUAGGUGAACCUGCGGAAGGAUCAUUAUCGAAUAAACUAGGUGGGUUGUUGCUGUCCCUCUCGGGGGAAUUGUGCACACCUUACCUUUUUUGUUUUUCCACCUGUGCACACACUGUAGGUCUGAAGGAGGGGAAGGGGGGGAAGUAACACUCUCCCCCUGAAACACUUUCAGGUCCUAUGUAUUUUACACAUACACUAUUAAAAGUAACAGAACGAUUCAAUGGGCUUUUCCAAGCCUAUAAACUAUAUACAACUUUCAGCAACGGAUCUCUUGGCUCUC